UGAAUACAGAAGCAGAUAUUAGCCUCCAGCCUCCUGCUCAUCUGGACACUAGAGAGUUACAGGAACCUUGAUAAUGAAGAUCUCCACCAUGGUCAAGAACAGAGGAAAGACCUAAAUGUCAUCUCUCAGCACCCAAUCUAACCCAAACUCUACACUGCCACCUGAGUCAUCUAACACAUGGG